rnacentral:rRNA from 1 species
GAUGAACGCUGGCGGCGUGCCUAAUACAUGCAAGUCGAACGAGGUCUUCGGACCUAGUGGCGAACGGGUGAGUAACACGUUGGUACCUACCCCGAAGUGGGGAAUAACUGCCCGAAAGGGUGGCUAAUACCGCAUAAUCCCGCAAGGUUAAAGCAGUAAUGCGCUUAGGGAGGGGCCUGCGUCCCAUUAGCUAGUUGGUAGGGUAAUGGCCUACCAAGGCGACGAUGGGUAGCUGGAUCGAGAGGUUGACCAGCCACACUGGGACUGAGAUACGGCCCAGACUCCUACGGGAGGCAGCAGUAAGGAAUCUUCCACAAUGGACGAAAGUCUGAUGCAGCAACGCCGCGUGCAGGAUGACGGCCUUCGGGUUGUAAACUGCUUUUAUACGGGAAGAUUAUGACGGUACCGUAUGAAUAAGGACCGGCUAACUACGUGCCAGCCGCCGCCGUAA